ensembl:ncRNA lncRNA:CR45228 long non-coding RNA:CR45228
AAUGACAAUCAUUAACACAAAUCAAUGGGAUUAACAAUAUUUGGGUCCCAAACGCACGCACACACACGAAGUAGGAAAAUCGAAUGGGGAUGCGAUGGGUAGGGAUAGCGAGAAAGGUUGAGUAAAGGCAAACGCCAUCAUUCAACUUUUCCGACACCAACGCAAAAUGCCAAAAGCGCUGCAACCGCAGACGUGGCCCAAACACUCACACUCACAAUCGCACUCACUCAUCCUGACGCACACUCACACAGAGGCGUACAAAUCAACAUGACAGGCGCAGGACUUAAUCCGAAAAUAGUGCAAAGUGAAAUGAAUGCAUGAGGAAGCAGGAGGCGAAGGAAACAACGGCGUGGGGAUGCCAUGUCGAAAAAUGGUCAGCACUUAAUUUCCUUCCCUUCAGGACUCUUAGACUCCCCCGUAGUUUUCCUUUGUUUUGCAUGUGUGCCGCAGGGCGAUUUUAAAUGCCCCGCAAUCCCGAAGAGAUGCAAAGACACAAACGAUUUGGGCGCUUUCUGCGCCUUGGCCAGUGACAACGUAGAACGAUUUGCGACAUGGCCACAGUUGUGCGGCCAAAAGCAACCUCGAAACAGGCAACCCUAAGUUACCCCCCACAUCCCAUAUACUCCGGUUAUAUAUACCGGUUCAAUAACUAUCCGCCGACAACCACGUCCUCGGCAGCUGCGUCCCAAAAGCAACUGACGUGGCUGGAACCGUAAAUCCUAGCCGGAUUGUCUCAAGGAUUCUUAAAGAUGAUCAGAGCAUGUGGAGGGGGAGAAUCUAUAUUCAG